GAACGCCUGUAGCAAUACAGGAGUGGCAGACGGGUGAGUAACGCGUGGGAACGUGCCCUUCGGUUCGGAAUAACCCAGGGAAACUUGGGCUAAUACCGAAUACGUCCGCAAGGAGAAAGAUUUAUUGCCGAAGGAUCGGCCCGCGUCCGAUUAGCUAGUUGGUGGGGUAACGGCUCACCAAGGCGACGAUCGGUAGCUGGUCUGAGAGGAUGAUCAGCCACACUGGGACUGAGACACGGCCCAGACUCCUACGGGAGGCAGCAGUGGGGAAUAUUGGACAAUGGGCGCAAGCCUGAUCCAGCCAUGCCGCGUGGGUGAUGAAGGCCCUAGGGUUGUAAAGCCCUUUCGGCGGGGAAGAUAAUGACGGUACCCGCAGAAGAAGCCCCGGCUAACUUCGUG
rnacentral:rRNA from 1 species